AUUGAACGCUGGCGGCAGGCCUAACACAUGCAAGUCGAACGGAGUGGCGGACGGGUGAGUAAUGUCUGGGAAACUGCCCGGUGGAGGGGGAUAACUACUGGAAACGGUAGCUAAUACCGCAUACUAUCAGAUGAGCCUAGGUCGGAUUAGCUAGUUGGUGGGGUAAAGGCCUACCAAGGCAACGAUCCGUAACGGGUUUGAGAGGAUGAUCAGCCACACUGGAACUGAGACACGGCCCAGACUCCUACGGGAGGCAGCAGUGGGGAAUAUUGGACAAUGGGCGAAAGCCUGAUCCAGCCAUGCCGCGUGUGUGAAGAAGGCCUUCGGAUUGUAAAGCACUUUAAGUUGGGAGGCGGUACCAGCAGAAUAAGCACCGGCUAACUUCGUGCCAGCAGCCGCGGUAAUUC
rnacentral:rRNA from 1 species